GUUCAGUUUUGGGCUCUCACUACAAGAAAGUCAUUGAGGGUCUGGAGUGUGUCCAGAGAAGGGAAACAAAGCUAUUUGUUUUGUUUGAGGGGUCUGAAACACAAGUCUUAUGGGGAGCAGCUGAAGGAACUGGGAGUGUUCAGUCUGGAGGAAAGGAGUCUCAGGGGAAACCUUACCAUUCUCUACAAUUCCCCGAAAAACUGAGAAGUGAUUUAAAGGGAUCUCACUGGACCAUCUGUUUUUUUUUUGAACUACUCCAUUAGAACAAGAAUAAAGAAUUAAGCAUUCUAACUAUUUGCUUCUUGAUAACAAAGUAUCACAUAAAAAAAUUGAUUGAAUCUUG
ensembl:lncRNA